AUGCCUUCGAUCGUGGACUUUCACCAGAAUACACACCUUCAAACCGUGGACACACAGGAAUCGUGGACGUCCACGAUUAGAACGCCUAUUAUUUUCGUCAUUUACGUGGCCCAAUGAGGGCGCUCUCUUAAUAUCUGGAAAAUUUGACGAAGUCCACGUUAGAGGUAAUAAAUAGUAUCAGGAGUGUACGAAUACACAGUUCGUGUGACAAAAUUCUCCAGGAAUCGUCGCGCAUAAAUGAAUAACGCCCCCUUUCGGCAGUGAGUGACGUGUAGAGAUCUAGAUCGAUAUCGAGCGCCAAAACUCGUACAUAAAGUACCGUGCACGCGCAACCAAAAUACCAACGUGAUCGUGACAAUGUAGCCGCACCAAGUACGGCGCGCAAGUUCGCAAGAGGUGUGAUAAAUCUUCAAUUUCAGUAUGUCUUCCAGGAGAAAAAGAUUUUCUCCGGCAGCCGAAGCAGAGCAUUUCUGUAGCCUGGGGAAGGACAAGAGUGGAUUUCAAAAACAAUAUAUAAAUGAUGUGAUCGGAUAUGGUCUUUUUACAUCAAUGACUUUCGAGAAGGGGAGCUUUCUCCUUGAAUAUAGAGGCGAGCGGUCUUUAGUUUCUGAUGAUGAGGAGAUGACCAGUGAAGACUCGUAUGUUUUUCACUUUAAACACUGUGGUGUAAAGUACAGGUGAUACAGAUGUUGCUGAAACAGUAGGCACCAGCAAACGCCAGACAAAGAAGAUGUGGAGUGAUGCUGAGAAGGAAGCUGUCAACAGGCAUCUGGGGAUUUUCUUAAGAACAAGAAAACUUUGUGGAAAGGAUCCAAUCAUCUCUGCGAUGAAAGCUGAUCCACGCAUCUUCAAGGGUCGCACAUGGACAAAUAUAAAGGAUUUCGUGAGAAACCAAAUUAGAAAACGAGACCCUUUAGGAUUUCUUCAGAAAUUUUAAAUGAAUGAGGUGUUACAGUCAGGCAUGUUACCACAAUUAUGAGGUUCUUUGUAUGUUCUUGGUUGAGCAUUGCUUGUAGGGGAAGCUGUGCUUUAAUGCUGAACUGAUGUGCUGGCAGGUACAGUCUGGCAAUUUUUCAUUGUCUGCAGUUCACUAAGUUCACGAAUGAAGGCAUUUGUUUGAAAGACAGUAACUUUACCCUGAAAUGCAAACUGUUAUGCUGAGGGUUUCAAAAGUACAGGUAUAUAAUAUGAUCUUGAAAGAAGAGUCGAUCAAAAAUAAUUUCUUACAAGAAGCAGAAAAAAUUGGCAAGCAAAACAAAAGAGUUUGCGGAAUAUUGGACAACUAAUAACAAAGUUAUGAUUAAUGACUUGAAAAAACGGGCAAAUCACUGAAAAUUUUCAGGGAUGUUGCCAAUUUGUUGAUGUUAUGGGUGCACAACUCACCAUUCAAUUCAUAUAUAUUCACAGUGCAAAAUUCAUCAUUUUUACAGAAAGAUACAAAUCUUGUACUAAUGCAAACAUGCAAAAAAGGGGGCCACAUACCUACCAAGAAGAUAUCCUACAGUUAGAGUUUUGAGGAAAUCAUAAUUUGGGGGUAAAAAGUUACAUUUUAUAACAUUGAUAUCAAUAUGAUAAAUGGUCAAUUGUGCACCUAUGAUGUCAUCAAUUGCCAAUUUGUCUAAAUAUUCAAACAUUCAUAACUUUCUUAUUAAUUGUCCGAUUUCUUACAAAUUUGGUGGGUUGAUAGUAUUGAAAUACAGGUCAAGUUCAAAUAUUGGGUUCGUAGGUCAAAAGGUUGAAUGUAAAGGCUCAUUAAAUAUUCAGAAAACAUUAUUUAAUGUGAAAUUGUGGUUUCCAUCCAAUAACUCCAAAAAUCUUUGCCCAAUUUUCAUCAGAUUUGGCAUGUUGCUUGAAAGUAUUAAAAUACGGGUCAAGUUCAAAUAUUGGGUGUGUAUGUCUAAAGUUCAAAGGUCAAGGCUCAUUAAAUAUGCAGAAAACCCCGUUAUUUAUGCAAAAUUAUUUAAAAACAUGGUUUCCGACUGAAAAAUAGAAUAACCUUUCAUAAAUCUUUGUAUAUUUGGGGUAUUGCUAUUGUUAAGUUCAAAUUUGUCAAUGGCCAAAGUUCAUUAGAUUAUUUUGAAUGCAUGAAGCAAGGGCAUCUGUGGCCCAGGGACACAAUAAUUUUCUAGUUUGUUGCCUGAAAAAGUAAAUGUGCUCACAAUUCUCUACCAAUUUAAGCCAGUACUUCUGCAAUUCAUAGACAAGAUUUCAAAGAUGUAAUUGAAAAUAUAAAUCAGUGCAAAUGCCUUUUUACGGGCCAUUCGUAAUUUUCAAUGAUUUACAAUUUUGAUUUUUUUUUUUUCUUCAUUUUUCACCCAUUGGUUUGAAAGUGAAAUAAAUUUCAAUUUUCGAAUUUGUGGUUUGACACACACCCACAAUUUUGUUGGAAAAAAAAAAAUCGAAAAUUUAAUACAUUGUGAAUUAUGAAAGUUUUUUAUUUCAAAAACUGUUCAUGUUCUACACACAAAUAUGGGUAUUAAAGGGUUGUCCUUUUCCAAGUUAGGAGUAAUUGAGACACGUUUUUGCUCUGAUGCAAACCUUUAUGUUGAAGGUUUAACAAACAUAUUUUAUGUACUUUGAGGUUGUGUAAAAGUUUUAGCUGGUGGCAAA